rnacentral:misc_RNA from 1 species
GAUGAAGAACGCAGCGAAAUGCGAUACUUGGUGUGAAUUGCAGAAUCCCGUGAACCAUCGAGUCUUUGAACGCAAGUUGCGCCCGAAGCCAUUAGGCCGAGGGCACGCCUGCCUGGGCGUCACACGUCGUUGCCCCCCCAUCUACUCCUUCGGGAUUGCGGGGGGCGGAUGAUGGCCUCUCGUGCGCCUCGUCGCGCGGUUGGCCUAAAUGCCAAGUCCUCGGCGACGCACGCCACGACAAUCGGUGGUUGCGAAACCUCGGUUGCCUGUCGUGUGCGGUCGUCGCGCAUCGAGGGCUCGAAAAAAUUGCCGGGCUUCGGCUCGACUUUCAACGCGACCCUAGGUCAGGCGGGGUUACCCGCUGAAUUUAAGCAUAUCAAUAAGCGGAGGA